AACGAACGCUGGCGGCAGGCUUAACACAUGCAAGUCGAACGCCCCGCAAGGGGAGUGGCAGACGGGUGAGUAACGCGUGGGAAUCUACCCAGAUCUACGGAACAACAGAGGGAAACUUCUGCUAAUACCGUAUACGCCCUACGGGGGAAAGAUUUAUCGGAUUUGGAUGAGCCCGCGUAAGAUUAGCUAGUUGGUGGGGUAAUGGCCUACCAAGGCGACGAUCUUUAGCUGGUCUGAGGGGAUGAUCAGCCACACUGUGACUGAGACACGGCCCAGACUCCUACGGGAGGCAGCAGUGGGGAAUAUUGGACAAUGGGCGCAAGCCUGAUCCAGCCAUGCCGCGUGAGUGAUGAAGGCCUUAGGGUUGUAAAGCUCUUUCACCGAUGAAGAUAAUGACGGUAGUCGGAGAAGAAGCCCCGGCUAACUUCGUGCCAGCCGCCGCCGUAA
rnacentral:rRNA from 1 species